rnacentral:rRNA from 1 species
GUAACACGUAGCUAACCUGCCUUUAGGUUGGGGAUACCCUCGGGAAACUGAGGCUAAUACCUGAUAGGAGAAAAUCUCUGGAAGGAAUUAUCUCUGAAACUUACCUAAAGAUGGGGCUGCGGCGGAUUAGGUUGUUGGUAGUGUAAAGGACCACCAAGCCUUUGAUCCGUAAGGGCUCUUAGCGGAGAAGCCCUGAGAAGGAAUCUUAGACACUAUUCCUAGCCUUACGGGGUGCAGCAGUCGAGGAAAUUUUACAAUGCUCGAAAGAGUGAUAAAAUGAGUCAGAGUGUUUUCUUUUAGAAAACUUUUGUCAGUUGCAAAAAGACUGGCGAAUAAGGACUGGGCAAGACCGGUGCCAGCCGCCGCGGUAAUACCGGCGGUCCAAGUCGCAUCCACAUUUAUUUGGUCUAAAACAUUCGUAGCUUGUUUUGUAAGUUUCUUGUGAAAUCUGACAUCUUAAGUGUCAGGCGUGCAAGAAAUACUACAUUGCUAGAGACUGGAAGAUGCAAAGAGUAUGAUUGAGGUAGUGGUAAAAUAUGUUAAUCUUAAUCAGACUAACAAUAGCGAAGGCACUUUGCAAGUACAGAUCUGACAGUGAGGAAUGAAGGCUAGGGGCGCAAAAGGGAUUAGAUACCCCUGUAGUCCUAGCAGUAAACCCUGCUCACUAAACAUUAGUGCCUCCUCGAGAGGCAUUAGUGCUGUAGAGAAGUCGAAGAGUGAGCUACCUGGGAAGUAUAGUCGCAAGGCUGAA